UUACGGCUAUAUCACGUUGAAACACUUAUUUUCGUACGAUCACCGAAGUUAAGCAACGUUGAAGGUGAUCAGUACCUAGAUGGGGGAUUGCCGAGAAAUACCAGGUGUUGUAA